CUGUGUCUGCAACCUGUUUCUUAAGCUGUCUUAAAAAAACAAAAUACCCACUUUGGUUAAUACAAAGAAGCUAGAAGGAACAGGCUGAAAGUUAACACCCCAAAACAUAGUCAACUGAAGAGGAGAAAUGAGAGGUACAGAGUGUGCCACAGUCAAAACACCACUUCCAGCAAGAAGAACAGAGGAAUAAAAACUAAUAAGGAGGUACAACUGACAUUCAGGCUCCCUCUCAUCAAGAUCCUUCAGCGAUUUUGCUACUUCAAACCCUACAAGAGAACAGAUGUGCUUCCCUGAGAUCUCUAAGUGCUGGGCAGAGUUGGAGGGAAGGACCUUCUGUUUCUGGGGCCAUGCUUUUGAUUGCGUGUUAAUCACCUGGCCUGCACUUGUUUGAAGAGAAAAGAUGAAGGGGAGGAUGAAUAAAACAUUGUUAUUUUGUCAUGUGAAAUGGCUUGAGGUAAUUUUAACGUUUGGUUUCUUGCCCAUCACGGAAGCAUUCAUGAA